rnacentral:rRNA from 1 species
AUGGCUGAAGUUUUGGUGUUAAAAUUUGGCCUAUCGCUUGCGCAAAGGACGGGUUGUAAUCGCAUAAUUAUUAACUCAGAUAAUAUGGAGGUGAUCGAGACCAUGAACGAAGGAGGACGAUCGUCGGGGGCAGCAGCUGCAAUUUUUGAUGACUGUUUUCACUUAGCUUGCGAUUUUCCUAUUUCUAGAUUCGAGCAUUGUAAUAGAGAAGCAAAUAAAGUUGCUCAUGAACUUGCCAAGUUGGCUAGAUUUUCCUUCAUUUCAGAUUGGCUCGAGGAACCACAUAAUGCAAUUGUACCAAUCCUCAUAAACGAUGUAAUGAUUAUUUCUAAUGAAUAA